CUUGAUGAUGCCUACUGGAUGAGAUUCGGCUCAUUGUUAGUGCCUGCCAACAAUAUGGAAGGGUACUGCGAAGUGGAGUGAUUUUUGCAUUAUGGAAACCAGCUGACUCUUUCCAGACCCAUGAUUCAUACCAAGAAACUUGUUCAGCCUGUCUUGGAACCCUCUUUUAGAAACUCUCAGCACAUGAAGACCAUUUGGACAUCCCUAUGAUUUCAUCUCCAACCAAUAAGCAGCACCCAUUUCUUCAUUUCCUGCCCACCAAAUAAUUCUUUAAAGUCCUAGCCUCUGAGCUUUCCAGAGAAAGAUUUGAGAUAAAUAUCCCAUUAGCCUGCUUGGCUGGCCUUGUGUUAAUUAAACUUUCUUUGCUGCAAUACCUGCUGUUCCCAGUGCAUUGGCUUUUUUGGGCAGCAUGCAAGAUUAGCUUGGCCUGUUACAGAGGUUCUUCACAUCACUAACUGUAU
rnacentral:lncRNA from 1 species